rnacentral:tRNA from 1 species
GUCCUUGUAGUAUAACUAUUACCCUGGUCUUGUAAACCAAAAAUGAAGCAUAAACACUUCCUAGGACA